rnacentral:rRNA from 1 species
CCUAGAAUGCAAGUCGUACGAAGCGGCCCAAUGAUUUAUUUAGAAGCACUGAGAGCUUGCUCAAAGUGUGAAAGAAUAAUGAUUUGGAUUUUCCGCUUAGUGGCAAACGGGUGAGUAACACGUGGGUUACCUACCUCCUAGAUGGGGAUACCAAUUGGAAACGAUUGUUAAUACCGAAUGUGAUCUAUGGAUUAAAGAAGCCUUUAAAGCUUCGCUAGGAGAUGGGCCUGCGGUGCAUUAGAUGGUUGGUGGGGUAAUGGCCUACCAAGUCGACGAUGCAUAGCUGAACUGAGAGGUUGGUCGGCCACAUUGGGACUGAGACACGGCCCAAACUCCUACGGGAGACAGCAGUUAGGAAUAUUCGUCAAUGGGGGAAACCCUGAACGAGCAAUGCCGCGUGAACGAUGACGGUCCUCUGGAUUGUAAAGUUCUGUUGUUUGGAAAGAAUUGUACUAAUAGGAAAUGAUUAGUGCUUGACGGUACCAUUCAAGAAAGCCACGGCUAACUACGUGCCAGCAGCCGCGGUAAUACGUAGGUGGCAAGCGUUAUCCGGAUUUAUUGGGCGUAAAGCGUCCGCAGCCGGUUUAUUAAGUAUAGAAUUAAAGCCUGAGGCUCAACCUCAGUUCGUUCUAUAAACUGAUAAGCUAGAGUGUGGUAGAGGCAAGUGGAAUUUCUAGUGUAGCGGUAGAAUGCGUAGAUAUUAGAAGGAACACCAGUGGCGAAGGCGACUUGCUGGGCCACCACUGACGGUCAGGGACGAAAGCGUGGGGAGCAAAUAGGAUUAGAUACCCUAGUAGUCCACGCCGUAAACGAUGAGUACUAAGUGUCGGUUU